GAUGAAGAACGUAGCGAAAUGCGAUACGUAAUGUGAAUUGCAGAAUUCAGUGAAUCAUCGAGUCUUUGAACGCACAUUGCGCCCCCUGGUAUUCCGGGGGGCAUGCCUGUCCGAGCGUCAUUGCUGCCCUCAAGCACGGCUUGUGUGUUGGGCCUCGGUCCUCCUCCCGGGGGACGGGCCCGAAAGGCAGCGGCGGCACCGCGUCCGGUCCUCGAGCGUAUGGGGCUUCGUCACCCGCUCUUGUAGGCCCGGCCGGCGCUUGCCGACACAUCAAUCUUUUUUCCAGGUUGACCUCGGAUCAGGUAGGGAUACCCGCUGAACUUAAGCAUAUCAAUAAGCGGAGGA
rnacentral:misc_RNA from 1 species